GCGAUAAGUUAUAGAUUGACAAGGUAGUGCAAUAAACUCCCAGGAUUUCCCCCUGAACAGGCAUGAUAACGCACAUGAUUUCCCGCCAUGGGUCCUAUUGAUGCAGAUGGGUUUCCGCGUGGGACAGGGUCUGAGCCUGGAGCUCUGCAGCACGAUGCUAUGGAACAUUUCCCAGAACCAGUGACUCACCUGGAUGACCGUGUUGCCCCCCUCCAGCAGAGCGAUGGCCAACAGGAUGCUCUCUUGGAAGAUGCGGUCGCUGGUGGCGUUCAUGAUGAGGUCGAUGACCAGGUCCUAUAACUCUUACUGCAGCAGCGGUGAGAUAACAGCGCCUAUCAGAGCCGUCUCUGGCUGUGCAGGCCACUGAAUCAACAACACAUCCCAUUCUAGACGGAGCAUGGCUCUCUGGUCGCCUGGCAACAACACGGCCCACGUUAUGCUGAGGAGAGAGCCAGUAUGCUCUGAGGCAGAGCCGAGGUCCAUGGGCUUAAAGGAGUACAAGGCCAUGGCUGUGAAUAAGAUCGCUCUGAAGCAUUAGAGAUGAGCGAUGACUCAUGGCUGUGAUGAGAGACUCGUCGGAAUGAAUAAAUGUCAGUUAGGAACAAUUUAUUAGAUUUGUGAAUGUCAGUCUUGAUUGAGCAAAGAUUGAGCAAAGUGUGGAUGGCGAUACGGCCUUUUCUUAUUUUUUUCCCCCUCAGUCUAUGCUGUUCUAUAAAUGUGUUUUUGAGAACCCGAUGACAGCACAUAAACAAAUUGUGAUCCAUGUGGGCAACCGUGUGAAAGCCAGCUUUAGUUUACUGCUACCCAACAGAAAUAACGCCUUUCGUUAUGACUGGUUGAUCUGUGAAACCAAUAAACAAACAUUUCCGAGGUGAGAAGGCCUUCCACAUUAUGCGACAACACUUUCGUGUGAAAUUCAUUGAAUGAUUUGAAAUAAUUUGAACUCGUAUUCACAACAAGGGACGAUUUUCUCACUAAGGAAUAGUAUAAUAUUUGGAUUACAUUUUUUAUUUGUAUUCUGCUCAUUUUCAAGUUUUAUAAACGGUGUGCCUCUACUGUGAGACGUUCCCAUGCUUUAAUGUUCAAAAAGCUCUUUAUUUUUCUCACACUGCCUGUGCUGCAGCACCUCUUUUCACCCUCUGUCUGAAACCAGAGCCCAGUCGGCUUUGAUUGGUUAGCUGACCGGCUCUGUUGUGAUUGGUCAACCACUUAGAGAUGGCCCCGCCCCAUAGCCUAUCAGGUACAAUGUGUUGGAGCACUAGUCAAUAGAAGAGCAGGUGUUACGUAGGGAUGUCACUAUGUUACAGAAGUAAACAGGGGGAGAUGGGUGCGAGAGAAACUCCCUUUACAGGGAACUUCAGGAUUUUAGUCUUUCAGAAUCAGAAUCCCCUUAUUUGUCCCACAGAGGGGACAUUUUUGCUGACCAUUAAAUGCACAAAAACCUAAAUAACACACUACAGGAAAGGGUAAACCCCAAAACGCAUAAAAGGGCCUCUUUAAUGUGUAAAAUAAAGUAUUCGAUAUUAAAACUAAAUAACUGAUUUAAACCUAAUACAUUCUUCUUAUUUCCAUCCAAUCUUAGACAUUCUGAAAGAACCCAAAGCUUUGGAAAACACCUUUUGUAAAGAUGGUUCACUUUUAGUUUAGUUUACCUAAAUAUAGCUGAAAGGUUUUCCCAGUUCUCUUUUUAUUUAAACUUAACAUGUUGCAGCUGGCAGCUAUAAAAAGUUAUUUGAAAGUUUGACUGAAUUUUGUUUUGUG